rnacentral:rRNA from 1 species
GAUGAACGCUGGCGGCGUGCCUAAUACAUGCAAGUCGAGCGAACAGACGAGGUGCUUGCUCCUCCGACGUUAGCGGCGGACGGGUGAGUAACACGUGGAUAACCUACCUAUAAGACUGGGAUAACUUCGGGAAACCGGAGCUAAUACCGGAUAAUAUAUUGAACAGCAAGGUUCACUAGUGAAAGUCGGUAUUGCUGUCACUUAUAGAUGACUCCGGGCCGCAUCAGCUAGUUGGUAAGGUAACGGCUUACCAAGGCAACGAUGGGUAGCCGACCUGAGAGCGUGGUCCGCCACCCUGGAACUGAGACACAGUCCAGACUCCUGCGGGGGGCAGCAGUAGGGAAUCUUCCGCGAGGGGCGAAAGCCUGACGGAGCAACGCCGCGUGAGUGAUGAAGGUCUUCGGAUCGUAAAACUCUGUUAUUAGGGAAGAACAAAUGUGUAAGUAACUAUGCACGUCUUGACGGUACCUAAUCAGAAAGCCACGGCUAACUACGUG